CAACCCCGCGUCUAAGGCAGGGCCCCGCUAGAUCGCCUUACUGACGAGUCCUCUAGCGGGGUCUGGACGAAACGCUCCUUCUCCCUUUCCUCUCCUAACCAAACUUCGCCUUGCAGAAGCCCGUUCCCGCAAUUGCGGGGCACGGGGGUUCAGGUAGCAGGAUCGGGACAAGGAGCGCAGCCACAUCAACCAGUCGGACGCCAGGAGGAUGCGUAGGUGCAGGGGAUAGACUCCAUUGUUAUAGCCUAUCCUUUACUAGUAAAACCACACCGCCGAUCUUGUCGCUCAGGUUGCCCGCAUCAACAGCAACAAGGAACGACAAGAGAUAGACGGACAAAAGUGGCUUAAGGUGCCUUUAAUAAAGGUACCUUAAAUCACAAAAGUCAAUAGCAAAUCUCAACGGUCAAUCACUACACUAUAGUCAAUUGAAACUGUUGAGAUUGCAACAGAAAUAGGGUCUUACUAGGUAACUGCAACUACGGUUCGAUAGAUACGAGUUACUAAUCGCGGUAGCCCCCGUGAUUAGUGAUUCGGUGUAUCGAGCGGUAACGCACUUCGAGUGCUUCCCAUCUCCCUGGUCUUCCAACUGUCCGUCAA